rnacentral:rRNA from 1 species
GACGAACGCUGGCGGCGUGCUUAACACAUGCAAGUCGAACGGAAAGGCCCUGCUUUUGUGGGGUGCUCGAGUGGCGAACGGGUGAGUAACACGUGAGUAACCUGCCCUUGACUUUGGGAUAACUUCAGGAAACUGGGGCUAAUACCGGAUAGGAGCUCCUGCUGCAUGGUGGGGGUUGGAAAGUUUCGGCGGUUGGGGAUGGACUCGCGGCUUAUCAGCUUGUUGGUGGGGUAGUGGCUUACCAAGGCUUUGACGGGUAGCCGGCCUGAGAGGGUGACCGGCCACAUUGGGACUGAGGUACGGCCCAGACUCCUACGGGAGGCAGCAGUGGGGAAUAUUGCACAAUGGGCGGAAGCCUGAUGCAGCAACGCCGCGUGCGGGAUGACGGCCUUCGUGUUGUAAACCGCUUUCGCCUGUGACGAAGCGUGAGUGACGGUAAUGGGUAAAGAAGCCCCGGCUAACUACGUG